AAAAGAAAAGUCUCUUCUGGGGUCAUAGUAGAGGAUAAUUAUUUGAUAAAAGCAGCAGUGGAACCUUGAACAAAUGUUAUUGAAAUAACUUGCAUGUUUGACAAUUUUGCGAUUUUCCAAACUUCAUAUAAAUCAUGUUUUAGCACUUUACUCUGUGCCAUUCUCUUUUACUGGAAUCGUCAUAUAUUUUCUCUUUUACUGAAAUU
rnacentral:misc_RNA from 1 species